rnacentral:lncRNA from 1 species
GCCGACACCAACGCCGGCACCAAUAACUACAACGAGUUCGACAUCAAUAAGAUCUUAAUCGACGAGGAACCAGACGUCCCGAAACGCGAUCCCAACGCGCCCUAUUCGCUCGGGCCCGGAAUCUCCGAUUGGGACGAGCAACGCUCUAGAUGGCUGCAAGAAAACCCUAAUUACCCAAAUUUCAUCGGUCCAAACAAACCGAGGGUUCUCUUAGUCACUGGUUCAUCUCCCAAACCUUGUGAGAACCCUGUCGGUGAUCAUUACUUAUUGAAAUCGAUCAAGAACAAGAUCGAUUAUUGUAGAUUACACGGGAUCGAGAUAUUUUACAACAUGGCGCUGUUGGAUGCUGAAAUGGCAGGGUUUUGGGCGAAAUUGCCGUUGAUUCGAAAGCUUUUGCUCUCGCAUCCGGAGGUGGAAUUCUUGUGGUGGAUGGAUAGUGACGCCAUGUUUACUGACAUGGCAUUUGAGGUUCCUUGGGAAAGGUAUAAAGACUCCAACUUUGUUAUGCACGGUUGGAAUGAAAUGGUUUACGAUCAGAAGAAUUGGAUUGGGCUAAACACUGGGAGUUUUUUGUUGAGGAAUGGGCAAUGGGCACUUGACAUUCUUGAUGCUUGGGCUCCAAUGGGUCCUAAAGGCAAGAUUAGGGAAGAAGCAGGGAAGGUUUUGACCCGGGAGCUUAAGAAUAGACCCGUUUUCGAAGCCGAUGAUCAGUCUGCAAUGGUGUAUUUGUUGGCUACUCAAAGGGAGAAGUGGGGUGAUAAGGUUUACUUAGAGAAUUCUUAUUAUUUGCACGGUUAUUGGGGGAUCUUGGUUGAUAGAUAUGAGGAAAUGAUUGAGAAUUAUCACCCAGGUUUAGGGGAUCAUCGUUGGCCGUUGGUGACCCACUUUGUGGGGUGCAAACCUUGUGGUAAGUUUGGGGAUUACUCGGUGGAGAGGUGCUUGAAGCAAAUGGAUAGAGCAUUCAAUUUUGGGGAUAAUCAGAUUCUUCAGAUUUAUGGGUUCACUCACAAGUCAUUGGCCAGUAGAAGGGUUAAGAGAGUUCGAAAUGAGACCAGUAAUCCGCUUGAGGUGAAAGAUGAGCUUGGACUGCUUCAUCCGGCUUUUAAAGCCGUUAAGGUAUCCUCUUCUUGAGGAUAUAGGCUUUGUAUGAUAUCUUAUGCUGCUAAAUUAUAGGUUACAGUAUUCAAAUGUUGUGUAUGCAGUGGGAAUUUUGUGCUUACGGUCUGGAUAAAUAGUAUUCUUUUGUUCCUCGUCUUUAAAUUAUGAGUUCUUUAUAUGCUUUCCGAAUGAAAACUUAGCUCAUUGUUCUUUCCACUGCUAUUCAUUUUUUGUUGCUUAUAAGCAAACUUGAUUCUGUCAAUGUUUUAACAUGGUGAUAUAUGUUACUGCAUUUGUAAUUCAAUCAUUAGUCUGCAAUGUUUAUCGAUGUUGGGAGCUGGUAUACUUUCAUACUGCUAGGGUAAGCCAGUGAAACUAGGCCGCUGCAGGUACUCUGUUCUUUGAAACUUUAGCUGGAUGAAUAUAUAGUGGGGUUGAAACUUAAUUGUUGUGGUUAAUUGCUUGUUUACGUGGUUCAAAAGAAAGUGAGAAACAUUUCACUGAAUGAGGUAAGCAUUGAUGAUCAUUAGUCUCGUUCUCUGUUUCUUGUUUCUUUGAUUCGUACUCUUUAGAUCCCCAUGGAGGAAAAGAGUCGAGUCUUGCUAGGAAUAGGAUGAUAACGAGCUGCAGUUUCCUGCUUUUAUCAUUUUAAUGGCUGAUAUUUAUGUUGCUCCGAUUCUUAUUUUUCUUCAAAUAUCCGUGUCCAAUGUUCUUGUCUGACACACAUCCGUAUAUGAGCGCCGGAUAUGAUCUUCUAACUACAUGGAAGAACUUAAAAUAGUUGGACAUAUGUUUGACACACUACUAAAAGCUGUCGAUACUCAUUUACUCCAUAACUUAGUUCACUAGUAUUGAUAGAAUCUGUUCAGCAAUGGAUUCAUCUUUACAAUUACUUUAAGUAUCAAUGUUUGACAUCUAUGUUCUAUGCUUGUUGAAAUAUGAAUAUAGAGAUAUGGUCAUUUAAACUUGUGUUAACCACGUGCCCAUGUCCGAAUUUAUAUUCGACACAUGUUUUCAACUGCAAUAGCUCUAGAUGUCCUAAACAGGGUUAUGAAUUUCCGAGACACUUAACGAUUAAAUUGUAAUUUUUUUACUUAAAUAAUUAAAACAGAAGCUUACCUAUAAAUCCAUAAUUUACCCCUAAACCAGAACAUGUCGGACCAGUCAACCUUCUAUAAUAUGGAUAGCACAAAAUUUCAAUAUAAUAUAAUAAAAAUAGAAACAAUAAAAAUGGGAUUGAACGACAUUUUUUUUCUUAAAAAGGUAGGACUUUAUUAACAUUUUCUGGAUUUUAAAAAAAUGGUCUUAAGUAACACCUUAUAAUUAAAUUUGGUAAGUGCACUGGGCCCGGACCUCUCAUGACAAACUCGUGGUCUUCUCCCUCUUUGUGGAUGGCGUGGGGUUACCAAUUUUUGGAAAUUAAACCAAUAAUGGAGCUAUCCAUUUUUCAUUACGUUAAUGACAAAAAUAAUUAAUUAAAAUUUAUAAAAAUUAUAAACCAGUGCAAUUGAUUCAGUUAUUGAUUUUUUUUUCAAGUUUUUCAGAUUUUUAUCUAUUCACAAACAAUUUAGUUUAUAGUUAACUUCAUGUCAUCGAUUAAAUCGUUAAAACCAUUGAUUUAUGGUUUAACCGAUUUAAUCAGUUGAUCUAGUCUAAUUCUAACAUCUCUCGGAAGAUCGAUUUUUCCGGUGGCCAUGCUUUUGGAGACUUGUUCCUUCUGAUGGGACCUUUCGAGCUCUUUAAGUUCUGUUUUUAUUACUUGAGCUUUUUUUACCAUUGUUUCAGGUGAGGGCGUUCAGAGAUGAAUCAUGAAUUUUGGGGACUCAAAAUAUAAUUUUAACAAUUAUACUAAUUUGUAAAUUCGUAAAUUUGUAAAGGAUUAAAAAAUACAUUUACCAUUUUUGGGGGCAAGGCUACAACCUUCUCCUUUAUCUAUGCCUUGGUUUCAGGGUGUUGCAGUAAGUCCAUCGCCAAAAAGAGUGAGGGUCUCAACCCAAACUCUUGUCCAUCAUGUUUUUGCUUUACCCUAAUGCUUGUUCCUCUAGGUUAUCGACAUAAAUCUCCCUCUCUUUGCUUUCAUGUUGAUCUAUGUGUAGAAGGGGGAGUUGCUCGUUGCCUUCGUGGCUUAGGAUUAGGGUUUUUAGUAUCUUUUAAGGUCAUUUUUAUAGUUUAUAUUCGAGAUUUAUGAUUAUUUUUUUAUAAUGUUGUUUCCAAGCAUUUAACUUUCCUAACAUUUAUUUGCUUUUUUCUUUUGGCUUUUAUCUUUUAUGGUAUUCAACAUUUAUUUAUUCAUGUUCGUGUCUAUAACCGAAAAUAAAUCUAGAUAAUUUUUUCAACAACAUAAUGAUACAUAUACAUAUACAUACAUAUAUUCAUCACACUAAAGGGGAAAAUAAUUAUAAUUCUCACAUUCACUUAUUGCUAUAAAAAAAAUCUAAAAUUGGUUAACUUGUGAAUUGAACUAAUAGUUGAACUGAUUUUUAUAAUUUUUUUUUAUUUUAAUAAUUUAUUUUCUUUGAAUUGAUCAGAUUAGUUGUUCUGGGAAUUAAUUGGUCGGAUUAGUUCGGAAUUGAUUCAACUAGUUUUUUAACUCGAUUCAACUAGUUUUUUGACUCAAUUCAACUAGCUUGUACUGUUUCAUGGGUCAAUCGGUUUUUUACCUAUCACCAUAGGGGUGUGCAUAAUUCGGGUAAAACCGAAAAAAUUCGGUUAACCGACUGAAUUCGGUUAAUCGGUCGGUUAACCGAAUUUUUUCGGUCGGGGGUCAGUUAAUUUUUUUAUGAUUUUUCGGUUAACGGUUAAUUCGAUUCGAAAUCGGUCAGUUAACCGAAAAUUUUCGGUUAACCGAAAAAAUUAAUAAAUAAAAUUAUCCAACCCAGCCCAAACUCAAUUACCCAACCCAAUAAAACUAAAACUAAAGUUUACCCAAUUACCCAAUUACCCAAUUCAAUAAAACUAAAACUAAAAGACAACCCAAUUUACUAAAGUCUAAAACCCAAUUUACUUUAAUAAUUUAUAAAAUUUUUUAAAUUUUAAAAAUAAAAAAAUAAAAAAAUUCGGGUAAUUCGGGUAUUUUUCGGUAAUUCGGCUAAUUCGGGUAAUUCGGGUAAUUUUUAACCAAAAAUAAAAAAUACAUAAUUUUCGGUUAAUUCGGUUAACCGACCUUAUUAACCGAAAAAAUUUCGGUUCGGUUAAUUUUUUUUAAAAAAAUUGGUUCGGUUAACGGUUAAAAUUUUUAGAAGGUCGGUUAAUUCGGUUAUAGUAAUUUCGGGUCGGUUAACCGAAUGAACACCCCUAUAUCACCAGAUUGAUACCCCAACCGAUUUUUGGUCCAAUUAGUCGGUAUAGUCCAAUUUAAAUAAUAUUAAAUUUUGACUUUUUUAUAUUUUUAAAUUCAUUUUUAUUUUUUCAUAUUUUUAUUUUUUUUAAAAUUAUAAAUUCGUAGUUUUUUAUUUAAAAUAUAAAAAUACUUUUUAAAAUUUCUAUAUACUUUUAAAGGGUAAUGACCAAAUUAAUAAAAAAAUAUAAAUAUGAAGUUAAAAAUGUUAUUUUACAUUUUACAUCAUUAACUUUAGUGGAAAAAUUAGACGGAGGGUGCAAGAUUUUUAAAGGGUAAACUACCUAUUUAGUCACCGAGUUUACCUAUAUUAUUAUUUUGGUUACUCAUUUCAAAAUUUUGUUAUUUUGGUCCGUAUUAUUAGAUAAGUUAUCAAUUUUAGUCACUUUACCAUUAAAAUGGGUUUCAUCACCAAACAUAAUGCUGAUGUGGCUUGCUAUAAUAAUAAAAUUAGCCCUUAAUGUUUACCCAUUUAAUUAAUUUAUUCUUGAUUUUAAAAAAAUUAACCAUUAAUAUUUACACAUUAUAUAAACCCAUUCUACAAAUUAAGAAAAUAUAAAAUAAAAUUUAAAAAUAAAUAAAAAUUCAAAUAUUUUAAAAUUAAUAAAAAUAUACAAAAUACUCAAAAAAAAUUAUAAAAAAUAUAUUUAAAAAUUGUUUUUACUUCCCACCUUGUGGCUUUGAUGGUUCCCGCAGCUGUCGCUUGUGCUGCCUUCUUCGUCAACUUCUCGCAAAAUCACAAGUAAAAAGCGAAGAUGCAAAAUUUACGCAAUAAAAAGAAAUUAAAAAGAAAGAGGGAACCUUUCAUGGAGCUGCCCAAGGUUACUGCCUCUUUUUUUUCUUUAUAAUUUUUUAGUAUUUUAUAUAUUUUUGAAUUUUUAUGUUAAUUUUAUAAAUUUAAAUUUAAAUUUUCUUAAUUUUUAGAAUCAUGACCAAAUUGGAAUAUUGUGUAAAUAUUAAAGGUUAAUUUUCUUAUUUUUUUCAAAAUAAUGAUCAAAUUAAUAAAAUGGGUAAAUAUUAAGGGUUAAUUUUGUUAUUAUACCAGGUCACUUCAGCAUUCCGUUGGGUGAUCAAAUCUAUUUUAACAAUAGAGUGACUAAAAUUGACAACUUAUCAAAUGGGAAUGACUGAAAUAAUAAACUUUUGAAAUGGGUCACCAAAAUAGGAACGCGGGUAAACUCUAGCGACUAAAUAGGAAGUUUACCCAUUUUUAAAUAAAAAAAAGACUCAAAAUUAAAAUUAUAAGGACUAAAUUAUAAAUUUAAUAAGAGUAGAGGGACUUUAACAUAUUUAAACCAAAAUAAAUCACACCGACACAUAACGCCAUUUUUAUCAGAGAAAAGAGUAUCUAAAAUCUCCCCAAAUCUUCCAAAUUUCAUUUCCUAGGGUUCUCUCUCGAUUCCCUAUUUUCCAAAUUGGUAUUGUUAGGGAUUUGACGCUAAUCCGGAUCGGGUAACGAGCCGGAAGAUGAUAGACAAUUGCUUGGGAGCUCAAAGAUCUAGAAAGAUCCAGAGAACUCUCCGUCAUUGCAAGGUCACCAUCCUCUGCCUCGUCCUCACCCUCGUCGUCCUACGUGGCACUAUCGGAGCCGGUAAAUUCGGGACUCCAGGCCAGGACUUCGUCGAGAUCCGGGACCACCUCUAUUACCGGAAACAAGGCGAACCGCAUCGCGUCCUCAAAGAAGUCCAAACGACGUCGUCAGAUAACCACGACGGCGCCGACACCAACGCCGGCACCAAUAACUACAACGAGUUCGACAUCAAUAAGAUCUUAAUCGACGAGGAACCAGACGUCCCGAAACGCGAUCCCAACGCGCCCUAUUCGCUCGGGCCCGGAAUCUCCGAUUGGGACGAGCAACGCUCUAGAUGGCUGCAAGAAAACCCUAAUUACCCAAAUUUCAUCGGUCCAAACAAACCGAGGGUUCUCUUAGUCACUGGUUCAUCUCCCAAACCUUGUGAGAACCCUGUCGGUGAUCAUUACUUAUUGAAAUCGAUCAAGAACAAGAUCGAUUAUUGUAGAUUACACGGGAUCGAGAUAUUUUACAACAUGGCGCUGUUGGAUGCUGAAAUGGCAGGGUUUUGGGCGAAAUUGCCGUUGAUUCGAAAGCUUUUGCUCUCGCAUCCGGAGGUGGAAUUC